UGUAGUAUUCGCAAGCAAAUACCGUGAUGGCAAUGUUGGCAAUAAGGAUGCAGAUGAACCACCACUCAGGAACCUGCUUGUAUCUCCUCAUAAGUUUUGUAUGUACAUCCAGUUUCUUCCCUUGAAAAGCUGAUUUACUUAACUGCAAAAUUUCACUGCACAAAAGCAUCAUGAUUCUUAGCUGUUGCCAUCAUGUGAUUCUGCAAAACUGACUGACAAAUUUUGGCAGGAUUUACCUUCCGUGGAAGAGGAGAACGUGAACGAUUGUUGCGGUAAGGGAUGCGAAACCGACACCAUAUGUGACAGAGAAAAAAGUGCUGAGGUAUAGUGGACCAUUCUUCUCGUAGGCCUCUGUGUCGAAAUGGAAAUGCUCGUCCACGAUGGUUGUGAUGUUGUACUUGUGCCCAGAUUCAGUGAAGAGCCCAGAGGAGAAGAUGGGGAAGUUCCGUGCUUUAUAGAAAUUAAACCAGUAGGCGAUGGGUGUGAAUACGUACAUGAUGGUGAGGAAGCCUACAGCGAUGUUUGCAGUGGCGAACCAAGGGCUGGCAAGAGGGCUCCCGAG
rnacentral:lncRNA from 1 species